UACGGGGGGGGCAAGCGUUGUUCGGAAUUACUGGGCGUAAAGGGCGCGUAGGCGGCCAUCUAAGUCAGACGUGAAAUCCCUCGGCUCAACCGAGGAACUGCGUCUGAUACUGGAAGGCUUGAAUCCGGGAGAGGGAUGUGGAAUUCCAGGUGUAGCGGUGAAAUGCGUAGAUAUCUGGAGGAACACCGGUGGCGAAGGCGGCAUCCUGGACCGGUAUUGACGCUGAGGCGCGAAAGCUAGGGGAGCGAACGGG
rnacentral:rRNA from 1 species